UACGUAGGUGGCGAGCGUUGUCCGGAUUUAUUGGGCGUAAAGCGAGCGCAGGUGGUUUAUUAAGUCUGGUGUAAAAGGCAGUGGCUCAACCAUUGUAUGCAUUGGAAACUGGUAGACUUGAGUGCAGGAGAGGAGAGUGGAAUUCCAUGUGUAGCGGUGAAAUGCGUAGAUAUAUGGAAGAACACCAGUGGCGAAAGCGGCUCUCUGGUCUGUAACUGACGCUGAGGUUCGAAAGCGUGGGUAGCAAACAGG
rnacentral:rRNA from 1 species